GAAAUGCGAUAAGUAAUGUGAAUUGCAGAAUUCAGUGAAUCAUCGAAUCUUUGAACGCACCUUGCGCUCCUUGGUAUUCCUUGGAGCAUGCCUGUUUGAGUAUCAUGAAAUCUUCAAAGUAAAUCUUUUGUUAACUCAAUUGGUUUCUACUUUGGUAUUGGAGGUCUUUGCAGCUUCACACCUGCUCCUCUUUGUUCAUUAGCUGGAUCUCAGUGUUAUGCUUGGUUCCACUCGGCGUUAUAAGUUAUCUAUCGCUGAGGACACUGUAAAAGGUGGCCAAGGUAAAUGCAGAUGAACCGCUUCUAAUAGUCCAUUGACUUGGACAAUACUUUUAUGAUCUGAUCUCAAAUCAGGUAGGACUACCCGCUGAAAUUCAGCA
rnacentral:misc_RNA from 1 species